rnacentral:rRNA from 1 species
AUUGAACGCUGGCGGCAGGCUUAACACAUGCAAGUCGAGCGAGCGGCGGAAGGGUGAGUAAUGUAGGGGAAACUGCCUGAUGGAGGGGGAUAAGUACUGGAAACGGUAGCUAAUAACGCAUACCAUCAGAUGUGCCAAGAGGGGAUUAGCUAGUAGGUGGGGUAAUGGCUCACCUAGGCGACGAUCCCUAGCUGGUCUGAGAGGAUGACCGGCCACACUGGAACUGAGACACUGUCCAGACUCCUCCGGGAGGCAGCAGUGGGUAAUAUUGCCCAAUGGGCGCAAGCCUGAUGCAGCCAUGCCGCGUGUGUGAAGAAGGCCUUCGGGUUGUAAAGCACUUUCAGCGAGGAGGCGUUACUCGCACAAGAAGCACCGGCUAACUCCGUGCCAGCAGCCGCGGUAAUAC